UUUCCGUAGGUGAACCUGCGGAAGGAUCAUUAUUGUAUCACCGAGCUUCGAGUGCUGUCGCUGACCCGUAAGGUCUCGCACGCCCGAGUCCUCUCACACACAUCCAUCUCACCCCUAUGUGCACCACCGCGUGGGUCUCCCGUUGACUUUUUCGGUGGGGUGCUUACGUUUUCACACCAACUUUGUAUGCAGUGUAGAAUGUAUUUUUUGUUUUUGCGAUCACGCAAUCAAUACAACUUUCAACAACGGAUCUCUUGGCUCUC
rnacentral:misc_RNA from 1 species